rnacentral:rRNA from 1 species
ACACUCCUACGGGAGGCAGCAGUGGGGAAUAUUGGACAAUGGGCGCAAGCCUGAUCCAGCCAUGCCGCGUGAGUGAUGAAGGCCCUAGGGUUGUAAAGCUCUUUCACUGGUGAAGAUAAUGACGGUAACCGGAGAAGAAGCCCCGGCUAACUUCGUGCCAGCAGCCGCGGUAAUACGAAGGGGGCUAGCGUUGUUCGGAUUUACUGGGCGUAAAGCGCACGUAGGCGGACUAUUAAGUCAGGGGUGAAAUCCCGGGGCUCAACCCCGGAACUGCCUUUGAUACUGGUAGUCUUGAGUUCGAGAGAGGUGAGUGGAAUUCCGAGUGUAGAGGUGAAAUUCGUAGAUAUUCGGAGGAACACCAGUGGCGAAGGCGGCUCACUGGCUCGAUACUGACGCUGAGGUGCGAAAGCGUGGGGAGCAAACAGGAUUAGAAACCCUUGUAGUCCCAUG